GGUGAAUGGUGUGCAUGGUUUUGAUCUAUGUCAUGCGUUGUUGCUGGACUUCGUUUUGCAGUUUGUGCAACAGCGCUCACUCCACACCAGCAGCCAUAGAACAUCAGGAGAUCAUAGUACUGGCCUUUGACGUCAUCACUGACAUCUCACCACUGGCCAGCCUCCAAACUCUCCAACAAAA